CAGAGUUCGUGCCCUCACGGGUAGAUCUCCCACCCUGUGUUAUUAUACCUUUGUUGCUUUGGCGGGCCGCCCUCGGCUACCGGCCCCGGCUGGUACGCGCCCGCCGGAGGACCAACCAAAACUCUUUUGUAUACCCCCUCGCGGGUUUUUAUAUCUGAGCCAUCUCGGCGCCUCUCGUAGGCGUUUCGAAAAUGAAUCA
rnacentral:misc_RNA from 1 species